rnacentral:sRNA from 1 species
AAUAAUUGAACUCAGACUAAGAGCGCCACGUCCUGUGGCAACGUCUGAGUGACCAACAUCCUGCUCC